UACGUAGGGUGCAAGCGUUAAUCGGAAUUACUGGGCGUAAAGCGUGCGCAGGCGGUUGUGCAAGACAGAUGUGAAAUCCCCGGGCUUAACCUGGGAAUUGCAUUUGUGACUGCACGGCUAGAGUGUGUCAGAGGGGGGUAGAAUUCCACGUGUAGCAGUGAAAUGCGUAGAUAUGUGGAGGAAUACCGAUGGCGAAGGCAGCCCCCUGGGAUAACACUGACGCUCAUGCACGAAAGCGUGGGGAGCAAAAGGG
rnacentral:rRNA from 1 species